rnacentral:sRNA from 1 species
UCCUGCGGCAACGUCUUUGUGACCCCCAUCCUGGGGG